GGCUGGAACAGUGUAAGCAUACAUUUUUUAGCAUUUCAAUUAUUUAUCAGCAGCCUUUACCUUUAGCCAUCUCCAAAGUUGGUGAGAGGAAAAUUACUAAGAUAAGGUCUGAAAUGUUCUUGGCUUGUUAGCUUACAUACUGAACCUAUUUUUUAGGCUUCAUGACUAGCUCUUAGCCUAUUACUAUAUAAAGAAGGAAAGUGAGUGUGAAAUGUAAUUAGCAGCAUGAAUUUGUUGAGCUAUUAGCUAUCGUGUUGCACAAGCAUGGAGUCUUCUUUGUGAAAUUAAUUCUUGCUACAUAAUUGACUUUUUCUGUAAAGAUUUGUUGUGUUCCUCCUAUCAACUCAACAUUGUCCUUGCCUAUCUCUGAUAAUUUUUAUGUUUCUGCAGGGGAUAUCUGGCCCCAGAGUA
rnacentral:misc_RNA from 1 species